AAUUGUAGUCCUCGCAAAAUGCAAUAUGGUGAUCAACAUACAGUUUUUUAUCACGCACAUAAGGCAAAAACGACCAAGUUUGGACGUGCGCUCGAUAGACUAUAUGAUGAAUAUGUGUGUGGUAGACUAAACAUUGCACAUUCGCAAAAGACUAAAAAUGACGAACGGGCACUUUUUAGAGAGUUUUGUCACCACGGGCCACUUGGACUAGUGAUACUAGGCCCAUGGCUGGGCCGCUAGGCCCACGCUGGAGCUGGAGGCGGUCAACACGGCGAUGUGAGCGGGAGAGCCUCUCGAUCCAGAUCGGACCAGGGCGACUGACGACGAGGGGCAGCUAAUCUGACAAGGGCGCUUGGGGCGAUGGGGACGGUGGAUCCACGUCGGGGCGACCCAGAUCCGUCCAUCUCUAGCGGCUGUGAAUCAUGAGGCAAGAACGGCAGCGAUCUUCAUGCUGGCCGCUUCAUAGAAGGAGCAGGGCGCACAUGGGGAUGGCAGAACGGCGCCGGGUCAUCCAGGGCAUGAGCGGUGCGGACCCAGGGAAGUGGCAGCGGUUCCGACGGGAUGCGGCAUGGUGGCGAAGUAUCGACAGAAAAAAACCUGACGGGGUGGACACGCGGUCGAGGCAAGGGAGCCGGGCUGAGCGUGCGGGAGCCAGCUCGGGCGUGGGGGCGGGUGACCUAGGCGGGCGGCAGUAGCAUACGAGCCCACAUGGCAUCAUCCAGGCCUCGCGGGCUUCGGUUGGGGAAAGUGAGAGAGGCGUGAGGUGAUGCCAUGGGAGUGGCCAGGAGCGGUGGAGCUAGCUACUACUUCCCAAGUGGCAGAAGGGCACAUGUAGGGGCAGGCUAGGAGGGCUAGGGUCUGCAUUUUAUAGGAGGUAGGCUAGGACUUGGGGUUUUUCUCGAUUUCGAAACCCUAGGAUCGCGAUGUGACGGCUCUGAUCGAAGGGGGCUAGGCUGGGCUUUGGGUUGUGUAGAUGGUCUGGGUGGGGAUGAGAGAGAGGGAAGAUGGCAACCCGUGAUUGUUUUAAUAUACAAAAAAUGUCUCUGAUUUGACUGGCUAUAGUGUCGCUAUAGGUUUAACGGUUUCGUAUCAAACGACCUCUGGACGCAAUGAAAUUUCGCAAGCGAUCUAUCUAAAAUAAACCAAAAACGCAUGCAAACUUUCAACCCAUUCGAAAAAAGUUCUAAACACACUUUUAAAAACAAUAUUUUGACGAUGCCACGGGUGCAUGCAAGUAU
rnacentral:lncRNA from 1 species